CUAAGUUUGAUGGCGACCGGCGCACGGGUGAGUAACACGUAUCCAACCUGCCGAUAACUCGGGGAUAGCCUUUCGAAAGAAAGAUUAAUACCCGAUGGCAUAAUAGAACCGCAUGGUUUGAUUAUUAAAGAAUUUCGGUUAUCGAUGGGGAUGCGUUCCAUUAGGCAGUUGGUGGGGUAACGGCCCACCAAGCCUUCGAUGGAUAGGGGUUCUGAGAGGAAGGUCCCCCACAUUGGAACUGAGACACGGUCCAAACUCCUACGGGAGGCAGCAUG
rnacentral:rRNA from 1 species